rnacentral:rRNA from 1 species
AUGGCUCAGGAUGAACGCUAGCUACAGGCUUAACACAUGCAAGUCGAGGGGCAGCAUGUGGUUGCUUGCAACCAAUGAUGGCGACCGGCGCACGGGUGAGUAACGCGUAUCCAACCUUCCCCUUAGUAGAGGAUAGCCCGGCGAAAGUCGGAUUAAUACUCUAUGUUCUUCAAUGCGGGCAUCUAAGUUGAAGCAAAGAUUUAUCGCUAAGGGAUGGGGAUGCGUCUGAUUAGGUUGCAGGCGGGGUAACGGCCCACCUGGCCUACGAUCAGUAGGGGUUCUGAGAGGAAGGUCCCCCACACUGGUACUGAGACACGGACCAGACUCCUACGGGAGGCAGCAGUGAGGAAUAUUGGUCAAUGGGCGCGAGCCUGAACCAGCCAAGUAGCGUGCAAGGACGACUGCCCUAUGGGUUGUAAACUGCUUUUAUCAGGGAAUAAAGUGAGGCACGCGUGCCUUUUUGUAUGUACCUGAUGAAUAAGGACCGGCUAAUUCCGUGCCAGCAGCCGC